rnacentral:rRNA from 1 species
CAGCAGGCGCGAAACCUUUACACUGCACGCACGUGCGAUAAGGGGACUCCGAGUGCGAGGGCAUAUUGUCCUCGCUUUCGUGUACCGUAGGGUGGUACACCAACAAGGGCUGGGCAAGACCGGUGCCAGCCGCCGCGGUAAUACCGGCAGCCCGAGUGAUGGCCGAUCUUAUUGGGCCUAAAGCGUCCGUAGCUGGCUACGCAAGUCCGUCGGGAAAUCCACUCGCCCAACGAGUGGGCGUCCGACGGAAACUGCAUAGCUUGGGACCGGAAGGCUCGAAGGGUACGUUCGGGGUAGGAGUGAAAUCCUAUAAUCCCGCACGGACCACCGAUGGCGAAAGCACUUCGAGAAAACGGAUCCGACAGUGAGGGACGAAAGCCAGGGUCUCCAACCGGAUUAGAUACCCGGGUAGUCCUGGCCGUAAACAAUGUUCGCUAGGUAUGACACAGACUACGUGUCUCUGUUGUGCCGUAGGGAAGCCGAGAAGCGAACCGCCUGG